rnacentral:rRNA from 1 species
UACGGGGGGGGCAAGCGUUGUUCGGAAUUACUGGGCGUAAAGGGCUCGUAGGUGGCCAACUAAGUCAGACGUGAAAUCCCCAGGCUCAACUUGGGAACUGCGUCUGAUACUGGAUGGCUUGAAUCCGGGAGAGGGAUGCAGAAUUCCAGGUGUAGCGGUGAAAUGCGUAGAUAUCUGGAGGAACACCGGUGGCGAAGGCGGGAUCCUGGGCCAGUACUGACGCUGAGGAGCGAAAGCGUGGGGAGCAAACGGG